GGCUUCCUCUUGGAAGCCACGAUGCAGAGACCGAGUCCCCAAAGAUAAAUUGCUUUCCACACUGGCAUCAUAUCAAUCAUGCAUAGGGAUAAGGUAAGAGGAAGAGAAAUCACAGAAACUUUUCAUUAACAGCCUGGUGAUGACUCAAACGCACCUACCUCUCCGUCUGAUUCUUCUCCCUUUUUUUCUUCUGCUGCUGAGUAUUGCAGUUACCUAACACAGGAGGAGUACAGUAGCUGGCCGGCUGAUACAGCGGGAGAGUUGAAGAUAGGUCCUUACCUUGAAAUGCCAUCCAGGAUCCAAUAGUCCACAAGAUUAGCUGACUGAAGCUGAGAGCUCCAAAAAAAGAAAAGGAUGCUUCUCAAGUUCACCUGGAACAGGAGCCUUUGAAUUCAAAAUACCACAGGCAGGCAGCGAUUAAUUGCGAGAUCGACAGAGGGAGAACACUCCUCGAGCGCACUGGCUUCCCUGAAAAUGACUAGAGGUAGUCUGUGCUCUCCACACCUCGAAGAUGGGAGCUGUCCUCUGUUCAGCCCAGCAUUGGGGGGAGGGGUCCCCCAGAGUGCAAACUUUCAGACACCUCUCACCACCCAAUAAACGCUGUCUGCUGAGAAGUGGAAGAAUGAACGCUGCUCUCUCUCUCUCUCUCUUUCUCUCUCUCACACACACACACACACUCCCCUCCCUGCAACCCCCACCCCCUUGUUUUCGCUCCCUUCCUCUCUCUCUCUGUCUCUCUCUUUCUCUUUCCUCCCUCUUGGUCUCUCUCCCAUGUCUGUCGUCUGACAAUUACCUCUUUGGCAUUCACAGUUAUGUCAGAUAGAAAAGGUUCGCCGCCUGCACUUCUUAGGAUCCCUUAGGGAUACAAAUAAUGGUCUGAUAAAUAUGGGAAGCUAAAUAGAGAGUGAGUAAAGAAACAACAUGAACAUUAAUGAAGGAACGAGAAACGAGAAAGGGACUCUGACUAACGUUUUUCCCCCCCAUUAUUACUGACUCCAUGGAGCUUUGGUCUUUUUCAUCUCUCUUUUGCAAAUGCCUUGUAGUGGAUCAGGUCAGGAGUUGAUGUUGGCCAACUGUCGAGAGAGAUUGAAGAGGGAGACGAAAAUAGCAGCAGUAACAGACCAGUGCUCUGAAUCGAGGCAAGGACAAUCCACGAGAUUUAGCAAAGCGUGGAUUCUUUUACAAUUAGCAGCCUAAACAAAUUGCCAGCAAUUCCCUUAUCACUCAGUGCACAUACACACAGAAUAUUACCCUGGACGCGGAAGCUGAAUGAAACAAUAUGCACAACAAUUAGGAACAAAAGAAAUAGGUCCCUGGAACAUUUCAAGUGGAGCAUCGGCAUGUAUCUAAGCUAUGUCUUUACACUUGAUUACUAGAGUAACGUUCAGGCGUAAUCCGUUUGUCAUGUACUUAGGCAUAGCAUGACAGCAUGUGUGUGUUAUUUUUACAAACCAAGCAUAAAUAAUGACUGAUGAUUAUCACCUCAGGAAUUAAAUUGCUGGGAAUCGUGCCAGUGUGAGAAAUGUCACUUUUUGUUUACUACAUUUAUUUUUCUCACAUAAUCUUCACGCUUUCCGAACAUUUAUCCAACAAGACUCACGUGACUGAUGCUCUUAUACCCGUGUAAUGCAGUAAUUACUCUAGUGACAACAUGUUGUGAGAGUUAAGAUAAUGUUGUUACUAGAGUAAUUACACAGGUAAAAGAGAAUCUUAAUGUAAAGUGUUAAAGACAAAAGGACAUUAGAUCAUGUUUUACGUAGAUCGUGAUAACAGGAAGGAGCAUGACCUUAAUCUCUAUAAGUAGUCUAACUAUGAAGCUAAAAGAUGAAGAACCCUCAACCGGUCCACUGACCUCUGCAUCCUUUCCAUCAUCACCAUUACAUUCCUGUCUUUCCUAGAAAACACAUCCAUUGGCACACUCAAUCACAGCCAAUGGCACACAUCAAAUGGCCCACCCAACUACCGACUCCAGUCUAUCAAAGAGUGUGUUUGAAAAUGUAACUGGAACUAUUCACAUCACAGACCAGCUAUCUAACCAUUAUAAUACAAGAGACUGAAUCAUUAGCAGGUUUUUAAUACUCGUUCCUUUCU
rnacentral:lncRNA from 13 species